rnacentral:lncRNA from 1 species
GAAUUCAUAUCUAGCUUAACAUACUAGCUGUGAGAACCUGGAUAAGUCACUAUAUCCUAUUUGCCUAAAAAACAAAACAAAACAAAACAAAAAAAACCUCUUGUAUCAUUGCCUUGUCAUGGGAGAAAGUAUAGCUCAGUGAAACCAUAAGCCAUUUUGUGUAGGAUUGAUUGCCUCAGGCAAAGAGAUAACAAUGAACUGCCACCAAUAUGUAUAUGUAUAUAUAUAUAUAUAUAUACAUUUUCACUUUUUAAAAAACUCUGCCGUUUUGUAUUUAAUACCUUCCUCGUCUGUAAUGUGAUUGGCCGUGUGUGUGUGUGCGUGUGUGCGUGCGUGCUUCUGUGUGUGUACAUACAUCGUGUGUGGUUGGGGGGUUGGGCACAAUUCUGGACUGGACUUCUGAGCUCUGCCUUGCCCUCCGCCCCAACGUCAAGUCUGGCUGCAUCUUAGAUCACGGUGACUCGGCCUGGAUGAGCACUCCCCCUUCAUUGUCGCUUAGGGCUCUGGCCCCUUGGACUUUCUGAUGGAGCAGCCAAGCUCAGCCCGUUUUCUGCACUGAAGCCAGCGGGCUGAUGACCGUUCUGUGGGGACAGAAGAACUCUCGAUGGAUGGCCAGGUUGUGCCGGGGCCCUUGGCUGGACUCUGGUCUGCCGGCCUCCUCCUUCCCCCUCCCCGGCAGCAACAGCGCCUGCUGAGAUCCUGCUCGUUUUCAGGGGACUUAUUGACCAUCCAGUCCAAUCACUUCAUUUUAUUGAUGUGGAAACUGAGGCACAGAAAGAUUAAAUGA